UGGGGAAUAUUGCACAAUGGGCGCAAGCCUGAUGCAGCAACGCCGCGUGAGGGAUGACGGCCUUCGGGUUGUAAACCUCUUUUAGCAGGGAAGAAGCGAAAGUGACGGUACCUGCAGAAAAAAGCACCGGCUAACUACGUGCCAGCAGCCGCGGUAAUACGUAGGGUGCAAGCGUUGUCCGGAAUUAUUGGGCGUAAAGAGCUCGUAGGCGGUCUGUCGCGUCUGCUGUGAAAUCCCGAGGCUCAACCUCGGGCCUGCAGUGGGUACGGGCAGACUAGAGUGCGGUAGGGGAGAAUGGAACUCCUGGUGUAGCGGUGGAAUGCGCAGAUAUCAGGAAGAACACCGAUGGCGAAGGCAGUUCUCUGGGCCGUAACUGACGCUGAGGAGCGAAAAGCGUGGGGAGCGAACAGGAUUAGAUACCCUGGUAGUCCACGCCGUAAAACGUUGGGCGCUAGAUGUGGGGACCAUUCCACGGUUUCCGUGUCGCAGCUAACGCAUU
rnacentral:rRNA from 1 species